CUAUCAUCUAAUAUUUUCUCGUAGUGCGCAUCAAUACAAACUUGUGAUCGCAAACAUAACAAAAUUUAGAAUUAAAAUAAAGAUUCCACGGAACUACAAAGUUUAAGUAUAGUAUGAUAAUUUUGUAUUACUAUGACUGAUUACCUUUUGCCGUCCGUUCACCUUUAUUUUUCAUUUCUAUUUUAAAUUUCUUUAUUUCUUUUGCUUUUCUUUUUGUCUCUCCUCCCUCCUGCAUCCUCUCACCCUCUUCUCUUAGCGAGCCGACGACUGCCGACGCAACAGCUUUGUCGUCCACGGGUCACCAAAGGCUGUCAAAUUACACAUCCAGAAUGCUCUUGCCGUCCUUUAUCCAAUCCCCAAGAAUUGGACCUCGACCCAAGAGGUAGAAAUGAUCCUCUUCUCGUGGUCUGUUCUCCAAUCAGCUUACUUUGGUUCUGAGUUGCCUGCUGUCCAGUAGAUGUUUAAGACUUAAUGUGGAGGAAAUUCUCUCUUGAAGUUGCUUGAACUUACCUAUUUGGUAGACAAGGCUACUCAAGGGAAAGCUAGCCUGAGGUGUGAGUGGACAUUUAUUUAAGAAAUGUUUUUUCUUUAUCAAAUAUUAAGCAUGCCUAGAUAAAUAUGAUUUCCGUUACGUUUAGGGGAAAACCAGAUUUUAUGAAUUAAUAUCAGACCUUAUAGUGAAUGAUCAUAUUAUUUAGCUUACAUGUGUAUGAUCAAUAUUACGUGUGUCAUGCUACAAACAUGUCAUUCAUCUUAAAUGUGUAUGGUAUUACAGAACUUUUAGCAUUAUAAAUUGAAAUGCAAAUAUUGGUAGCUAGAGACAACUUUUCCAAAUUAUCAUAACAAAUAAGCCAACACCAAUUUAGAAACAAACAGUAAUAAUCACAGUCGAAAUUUAUAAUACAUAAAAUAAGAUUGAAUGAUAAACCAUUAUCCAAUUGCAACCGUUAGAUUUUACUCUAGUCCUCCUUCCUCCCGAGUCCACUCCUAAUUCCAAAAUCAGUCAUUCUCACUCCACGCCGUUCAUCCCUCGUAUCCAACUUUCAGUCAUCUUCUCCUUCGUCAUCACGACCAACGCAACGGCACCACCCAUCCUCCUUGACGACAUCCCACUGGCUCGAUUCUUUCCUCUUCAACAACAUCACUGUUGGCUCAAUUCUCUCAUUUUUAACAACCUUCACUUAUGUUUCUUGCCCAUUCGCAACCCUUAUAAUCCAUACCUUCCUUCCACCCAAAAUCUAAUUCUUUAAUCUCACAUCGCCGUCGCAAAUCCACCGCCCACCUGCCCUCCGUGAGCACUCCAUCACUCUCAAGGGUAAAGCUUUCAAAUUUUCUUCCGAUUUGCGGGUUUCAAUUCGAAUUUUUGACUCCAGAUGUUGUAAAGCACAUGUGUGUUCUCUGGAUUCACACAGCUAUGCAAGGGCUUGUCGGUGGUGUUCAUUGGAGGCCACAUUGUAGUUCAACUUCUCCCUCAUGCUUGUCGGUGGUAUUUUUCUCUCGGUUUGGGCACCUUCACUGUCCAAUUUUUGGUUUGUUGACUUAUGAAUUGAAAAUUUACUAAAAUGUAUUGCAAAAUAUUGCAUAAAUAUGUGUUUAUAGUAAUGGGUUUUAUGAAAAAUAUGUGAAAUUUAGUGUUU